AGCCAAGACCAGUGCAGCCCAGUCAGACACUCUGUAUUCUACCUUAAAGCCAUUGAAGACUACAGAUAACAGUGAAGAUGACGAUGACCCCAAUGAUGUGACAUAUUCAGAGGUUACCAUCAAGAACAAGAUGGGAAAGAAACACGGUUCUGCUGGUCCCAGUGAUGUCACAUACGCUGAUGUGCACAUCAAGAUGAAGCCUCUGAAGAGUACAGCCAAACCAACUUCCCCUAAAGAAGACACCAUUUACUCAUCCAUCAAUCAUCAAGCUUCAUCAGAUGCAGGAUCUGGUGAUGCAACCUAUGCACAAGUUAGGAAGAAAGGCAAGAAGCCUAAAACCCAAGAUGACUGAGUCAUGGACAUGUGAGACCAGUACAUUGCCCAUGCCUGCUCCUGUAAUGAUGUAAUGAUGUAACAAAGAGAUAUUAUAGAUAGCCAAAUGAGAUUUGGACUGGGAUUAUGGAUUUGGUUAUGGAAUAGUUGUGCCAGUAAAAUGACCAGUCAUUGCCUGA